GUUCAUUUCGGCUGCACAUAUACUAAAAUUGGAAAGAUACAGAGAAGAUUAGCAUGACCCCUGCACAAGGAUGACAUGCAAAUUCGUGAAGCAUUCCAUAUUAAA